UAGCUGGUUNNUCAAGAAAAGAAUUUAAGUCNAACCUNAANGUAACUCCUGAUUAUCAUAAAUCACCUCACCACUUUAGAGCAAUUCAAAUGAGGUACAGCCCAUUUGAUAUAGGAUACAACCUUAACUAACGGGUAACAUUAAAUCUACACCUCCAAGUAGGCCUAAGAGCAGCCACCCUUUAAAAAAGCGUCAAAGCUUAAUCAUGUUCACAUCAAUUUUUAAUCUUCAAUUGACCCCUUUUACCUUACUGAGAAUUUCUAUAUCAUAUAGAAUAUUUUAUGCUAAAACUAGUAACAAGAGUAAACCCUCUCCCAAUGCAAACACAAGCCAGCAAGAACCCAUCACUGGCAAUUAACAGACUUAAACAAAAGUAGCAACAUCUCUAGAAAACCCUACUCAUCCCAACUGUUAACCUUAUACCAGAGCAUUUCAGGAAAGAUUAAAAGAAAAAGAAGGAACUCGGCAAACACUAAUCCCGCCUGUUUACCAAAAACAUCGCCUCUUGCCCCCAUAAGAGGUCAAGCCUGCCCAGUGACUUUGUUCAACGGCCGCGGUAUCCUAACCGUGCAAAGGUAGCGUAAUCACUUGUUUUCUAAAUAAAGACCAGUAUGAAAGGCAUCACGAGGAUUAAACUGUCUCCUUUUUCCAAUCAGUGAAACUAAUCUCCCCGUGAAGAAGCGGGGAUUAUCCUAUA
rnacentral:rRNA from 1 species